rnacentral:rRNA from 1 species
GAUGAACGCUAGCGGCAGGCUUAACACAUGCAAGUCGAGGGGUAGAGGAAGCUUGCUUCCUUGAGACCGGCGCACGGGUGCGUAACGCGUAUGCAACCUACCUUUUACAGAGGGAUAGCCCAGAGAAAUUUGGAUUAAUACCUCAUGGUAUAUAUCAUUCGCAUGUUUGAUAUACAGUUAAAGAUUCAUCGGUAUGGGAUGGGCAUGCGUCUGAUUAGCUAGUUGGCGGUGUAACGGACCACCAAGGCGACGAUCAGUAGGGGUUCUGAGAGGAAGGUCCCCCACACUGGCACUGAGAUACGGGCCAGACUCCUACGGGAGGCAGCAGUAGGGAAUAUUGGGCAAUGGACGAGAGU